UACGUAGGGAGGCAAGCGUUGUCCGGAAUCAUUGGGCGUAAAGCGCGCGUAGGUGGCCUCAUAAGUCCGUUGUGAAAGUCAAAGGCUCAACCUUUGAAAGCCGAUGGAUACUGUGAGACUAGAGUACGGAAGAGGCGAGUGGAAUUCCUGGUGUAGCGGUGGAAUGCGCAGAUAUCAGGAGGAACACCAAUAGCGAAGGCAGCUCGCUGGGACGUUACUGACACUGAGGCGCGAAGCGUGGGGAGCGAACAGG
rnacentral:rRNA from 1 species